GCGGCGCCGAGCAGUCAUCGCCGGCGCGUCCGCUCGGGCGCUGGUUCGAGGUCGAGUCCGAGGGCGCGGGCUUGGCCCCGGGAGCGGCGGCGCCGGAGUCCGCUCAGCGCGCAUGGACGAGCCCGGGCACCCCGAGCGUUCGUGCGCCAGCGAAGGUGAUGGCCCUGCAAGAAGUGUAAAAGGGACAUCCAGCCUGCUUUCAAGAGAACAGCUUUUUGUACUGGUAUCGGCAGCUGCCGUUAACUUAGUUUCUAUGAUGUGCUAUUCUAUCCUUGGACCCUUUUUCUCCAAGGAGGCUGCAAAGAAUGGAGCCAGCAGCACAGUCAUUGCUUGUACAAAUUGGAGCAAAAUUUAUGUUUGUAGCAGGGAUCUUUGUCUCAGGAGGAGUUACAAUUAUCUUUGGGGAAGUUUUGAGAUUUUUUCUGGACUGAAACUAGUGCUCGGGCCUCCUUUAGGUGGCUUCUUAUAUCAAUCCUGUGGCUAUGAGGUGCCUUUUAUUUCUCUGGGAUGCAUAGUUCUGCUGAUGGUACCACUCAACAUACGUAUUUUACCUGAUAAUGAGUCUGAUCCAGGUGAACAUUCAUUCUGGAAACUCAUCACUUUACCCAAGGUCACCCUUAUGGCCUUUGCCGUCAGCUCAGUCAGCUCAUGUUUCGGCUUCCUUGAUAUUAUUCUGUCUCUCUUUGUUUUGGAGAAACCAGCUUUGGAUAUUGUUUCUGGUAUUAGUCAUAAAUGACAUCUCUGCUGGAAUGAGUGUCAUCCCAACUUUCCCAGAGGUUCUCAAUUUGCUUUUAUAGGACUGAUACUGGGUGGAUUUCUGUAUUAAAAAAUUGGUUUUGAAUGGGCAGCUGCUGUCCAAGUUCUGUGGGCUCUGACAAGUAUCUAACCUUCAAAAUAUCCUUGGUACAGAGAAAGAAAUAAUUACUCUCUUGUCUCAUGAAAUCUAGCUUUAAGAAUCCUGGAUUGAUACAAAAUUGUGCGAUUGAUGCUGCUGGCUUUGAACAUCAAAGUUGGAAGGGUUUCCUUAAUUUUACACCCAAAACUCCUUGGAGCCCACACCAGCAUCCUCUAAGUGUCAGCAAGUUUUGGAUGACUCUUUGUUGGGCUGCACUUAACUCUUAUUCUGAAAAGCUGACCUGCAGAACUAGCCAUAUUUGAAACGUUAAGUAUGAGACUAGUUGAAAAUCAGUAGAAGUUUGUGUUAUAAAGUGACUGAACUUGUUCUUGAAGAUGUUAUUGAUGCUAAGACUACUGUUUCCUCUGUUUACUUUUUAUUCCAAGUGUACUGAUUCUGUGAAUGUACCUUUUUUUAUUAACAGAGAAAUGAAUGUCUUAGUAUGCUUAAACAUAAUAUAAAUAUGAUUCAAAAUACAUAGAAUGAUUAUUGUGAAAUCAGUUUUUUUUUAAAUAUGCUUUCUCUGUGUCCUGGGAUUUUGUGUUUGUUCUUGUUCGUAAGGAAGAAUUUGUGCAUAUCAGGCAAAACUCAGGAGCAUUCUUAGACCCUCAGCUCUUCUAAAAAUUGUGUUUGUGUGAAAGGUACAAGAAUAAUAUUACUCAAGACUUCUAUUUUUGUACCACAUUUUGAAUCAUGAUCUAGAUUUAUAAACAAUGCUUGGUAUAACAUUAUUCCUUACCCUUGAUAUCUGCCUCAAUUCUACUCUCGGUUUGUUUUUAAAGCAUACUCCUUCCUGGUAGAUGUAUCUCUUUCCCAGUGUAAGCGAGCCGAUAGGAAUGCUUGUUGUAUUUUAGGGAAGAGGUUCCUCGGACUUUAUGUAAAAUCCAUGCCGUUGAGUGAAGAGAACAAAACUCUAUUGUGCAACUCUAAUAUCUCUG